rnacentral:tRNA from 1 species
GGGGGUAGCUCAGUUGCAGAGCAUGUGCUUAGCAUGUGCAAGGUCCGGGGUUCAAUCCCCAGUACCCCCU